rnacentral:rRNA from 1 species
GUCUACGGCCAUGCCCCCCUGAACAAGCCCAAUGUCUGAUCUUGGAAGCUAAGCAGGGUCCGGCCUAGUUAAUACUUGGAUGGGAGACCACCUAGGAAGACUAGGUGUUGUAGGCA